AGCUAAUACUUGCUUUAAUGCUCCCGACGUGUUACGUCUUGUGAGCAUGUACUUGUUAAGCCUUUAUAAGAAAAAAGUUAAUAACUUAAGGAAUGAUAACAAAGAAGUGACACAUAAAAAGGGCUCGUCCCAUUUUCUAGUGUGUAUCAAUCGAGUUUCUGACCUAUCAGCUUUUGAUGUUAGGGUAUUGGCCUAACAUGGCUAUGACGGGUAACGGGGAAUUAGAGUUCGAUUCCGGAGAGGGAGCCUGAGAAAUAGCUACCACAUCUAAGGAAGGCAGCAGGCGCGUAAAUUACCCAAUUCUAAAGAAGAGAGGUAGUGACAAGAAAUAACAAUACAAGGCCAAUCUGGCUUUGUAAUUGGAAUGAUGGGAAUUUAAAACCUUCCCAAAACUCAAUUGGAGGGCAAGUCUGGUGCCAGCAGCCGCGGUAAUUCCAGCUCCAAUAGCGUAUAUUGAAAUUGUUGCAGUUAAAACGCUCGUAGUUGAAUUUCAAAGAAUCGAUAUUUUAAGUAGCACUUUGUAGAUUAAUCCACAUAACUGAUACUACGUAUCGACUUUGUGCGCAUUUUUCUACUUAUGUGUUCUUUUAAUUAAAAUGAUUCUUUUUAAGAUCUUUCUUUUUUGCUUCGGCAUUUUAGGAGAUCUUGUUACUUUGAGUAAAUUAGAGUGUUCAAAGCAAACAGAUUAUAGCAUCUUUAUGCGUUUGAAUACUACAGCAUGGAAUAACAAAAUUGAACAAGUCAGAAUUUUGUUCUUUUUUCUUAUUUUGGCUUAGUUACGAUUAAUAGGAGUAGCUUGGGGGCAUUUGUAUUCAGAUGUCAGAGGUGAAAUUCUUAGAUUUUCUGGAGACAAACAACUGCGAAAGCAUUUGCCUAAAAUACUUCCAUUAAUCAAGAACGAAAGUUAAGGGAGUGAAGACGAUCAGAUACCGUCGUAAUCUUAACCAUAAACUAUGCCGACUAGGCUUUGGAUGAAAGAUUUUAAAAUAAGAGUUUUUUCUCUGAGGAGUUAAAACUCUUAGAUUGCUUCCUUCAGUGCCUUAUGAGAAAUCAAAGUCUUUGGGUUCUGGGGCGAGUAUUCGCGCAAGCGAGAAAGUUAAAAGAAUUGACGGAAGGGCACCACCAGGCGUGGAGCUUGCGGCUUAAUUUGACUCAACACGGGAAAACUCACUAGUUUAAGACAAGAGUAGGAUUGACAGAUUAAUAGCUCUUUCUUGAUUUCUUGGAUGGUGAUGCAUGGCCGUUUUUAGUUCGUGAAUAUGAUUUGUCUGGUUAAUUCCGAUAACGAACGAGAUCUUAACCUGCUAAUUAGCGGCAAAUACGAUAUAUUCUUAUGUGGAAUUGAAUAUAGUUGAUUUGCUUAUUCUGAAGAAAAUAUUGGGAUACGUAAAUGUAUCCCUUUCCCUUUUCUACUUAAUUUGCCUAUCAUACUAUUUCUUUUUUGCGUAAGAAUGUAUUUGCUUGAUUGUAAAGCUUCUUAGAGGAACGAUGUGUGUCUAACCCAAGG
rnacentral:rRNA from 1 species